GCCGGUGUUGAUGACGAUGAGGAUCCACCUGUUCCCAUCCCGAACACAGAAGUUAAGCUCAUGGGUGCCGAAAAUACUUGGCUGGAGACGGCCCGGGAAAAUAGGACGAUGCCAGCA
rnacentral:rRNA from 1 species